GUGCUCACUUAGGCAGCACAUAUACUAAAAUUGGAACGAUAUUUAGUGUGACUCCUGCACAAGGAUGAUAUGCAAAUUAGUGAAGCGUUCCAUAUUUAA
rnacentral:snRNA from 1 species